rnacentral:rRNA from 1 species
GACGAACGCUGGCGGCGUGCUUAACACAUGCAAGUCGAACGGAAAGGCCCUGCUUUUGUGGGGUGCUCGAGCGGCGAACGGGUGAGUAACACGUGAGUAACCUGCCCUUGACUUUGGGAUAACUUCAGGAAACUGAGGCUAAUACCGGAUAGGAGCUCCUGCUGCAUGGUGGGGGUUGGAAAGUUUCGGCGGUUGGGGAUGGACUCGCGGCUUAUCAGCUUGUUGGUGGGGUAGUGGCUUACCAAGGCUUUGACGGGUAGCCGGCCUGAGAGGGUGACCGGCCACAUUGGGACUGAGAUACGGCCCAGACUCCUACGGGAGGCAGCAGUGGGGAAUAUUGCACAAUGGGCGGAAGCCUGAUGCAGCAACGCCGCGUGCGGGAUGACGGCCUUCGGGUUGUAAACCGCUUUCGCCUGUGACGAAGCGUGAGUGACGGUAAUGGGUAAAGAAGCACCGGCUAACUACGUGCCAGCAGCCGCGGUGAUACGUAGGGUGCGAGCGUUGUCCGGAUUUAUUGGGCGUAAAGGGCUCGUAGGUGGUUGAUCGCGUCGGAAGUGUAAUCUUGGGGCUUAACCCUGAGCGUGCUUUCGAUACGGGUUGACUUGAGGAAGGUAGGGGAGAAUGGAAUUCCUGGUGGAGCGGUGGAAUGCGCAGAUAUCAGGAGGAACACCAGUGGCGAAGGCGGUUCUCUGGGCCUUUCCUGACGCUGAGGAGCGAAAGCGUGGGGAGCGAACAGGCUUAGAUACCCUGGUAGUCCACGCUGUAAACGGUGGGUACUAGGUGUGGGGUCCAUUCCACGGGUUCCGUGCCGUAGCUAACGCUUUAAGUACCCCGCCUGGGGAGUACGGCCGCAAGGCUAAAACUCAAAGGAAUUGACGGGGCCCCACACAAGCGGCGGAGCAUGCGGAUUAAUUCGAUGCAACGCGUAGAACCUUACCUGGGUUUGACAUGGAUCGGGAGCGCUCAGAGAUGGGUGUGCCUCUUUUGGGGUCGGUUCACAGGUGGUGCAUGGCUGUCGUCAGCUCGUGUCGUGAGAUGUUGGGUUAAGUCCCGCAACGAGCGCAACCCUUGUUCACUGUUGCCAGCACGUUAUGGUGGGGACUCAGUGGAGACCGCCGGGGUCAACUCGGAGGAAGGUGGGGAUGACGUCAAGUCAUCAUGCCCCUUAUGUCCAGGGCUUCACGCAUGCUACAAUGGCUGGUACAGAGAGUGGCGAGCCUGUGAGGGUGAGCGAAUCUCGGAAAGCCGGUCUCAGUUCGGAUUGGGGUCUGCAACUCGACCUCAUGAAGUCGGAGUCGCUAGUAAUCGCAGAUCAGCAACGCUGCGGUGAAUACGUUCCCGGG